UACGUAGGGUGCAAGCGUUAAUCGGAAUUACUGGGCGUAAAGCGUGCGCAGGCGGUUUUGUAAGUCUGUCGUGAAAGCCCCGGGCUCAACCUGGGAAUUGCGAUGGAGACUGCAAGGCUUGAAUCUGGCAGAGGGGGGGUAGAAUUCCACGUGUAGCAGUGAAAUGCGUAGAGAUGCGGAGGAACACCGAUGGCGAAGGCAGCCCCCUGGGCUGACACUGACGCUCAGGCACGAAAGCGUGGGGAGCAAACAGG
rnacentral:rRNA from 1 species